rnacentral:misc_RNA from 1 species
CCGAGUUUACAACUCCCAAACCCUUGUGAACAUACCUUAUCGUUGCCUCGGCGGAUCAGCCCGGCGCCCUUAAAACGGGGAACAGGCACCGCCGGCAGGUAUCCUAAACUCUGUUUUAUAGUGAUCUUCUGAGUGGAGAAAAGCAAAAUGAAUCA